GUGAGUGUAACAGAACUCAUAUGGCAGGCAAAAACCUGAGAAAAAAUCCAACCAGGAAGUGGGAAAUUUGAGGUUUGUAGUUUUUUAAGGGGUCAACUUGCACUUUCCAAGGCUUCCACGAGAUGUCAACAGUCUUUAGAACCUUGUUUGAUGCUUCUACUGUGAAGGAGGAGGGAAUGAGUCAGAGGUCUGGCAGAGUGGCAUGAGCUGACCACCCGAGUUCAUGUGAGAGGUUGCUUGAGUGCCAUUGCAUUUCUGAAGACAAAGGAAUUCUCCGGUUGGAACAUUAUUGAAGAUGUAUGAUAACAUCCUAAAGAUUGCUUCUAUACAUCGUUUGACAUGUUUCUACGAACUGUAAUAUAACUUUUGGGAUUUUUCGUCUGAACUAAGCGAUCGCGCAUUGAGCAUUUGGAUUACUGAGCUAAACGCGCAAACAAAAAGGAGGUAUUUGGACAUAGACUUUAUCGAACAAAUCAAACAUUUAUUGUGGAACUGGGAUUCCUGGGAGUGCAUUCUGAUGAAGAUCAUCAAAAGGUGGUUUUUUUCAUCUUGGUUUUGUCCUGCAACUCUGGGGUCAAGCUGGAGGGCUGUAUCAAAUGGAGGGACAUCAGGAAUAACACAGGGCAGAAGAAUCCUAUCGAUGGAAUUAGCGUGAACACAGAUCACUUUCACAAGACUGUGUUCUCUAAAGAUCCAGAAAGCCAAGAUCCACGCCCUCUACAGAUGCCUGACUUCUAACAAAGCGGGACAAGAUUCACGAAUCAUCCUUUUCCAUUUGAUACGUAAGCUUCCUUUUGUGUCUUCUGUUCUUUUGGAGGGGCAGGUGCUCAAAGUGACCCCCCAAUAAUCAAAUUGCCCUGUACCCACAUUUAUGCAUAUAUAUUAGCAUAGGCCUUUAUUUUCUGCAAAAUCACACUGCUUUUGGAACAAUCUUAAUGAGCUAGUUUGAUGGGCAAUUCAUUUAAAUAACCAGAGAGAACAUACUAAAAGUGAAUUAAAAAUGUAAUAAUAAAAAACACCUCCAAUCUGAAGGUGCACUUUUCUCAAAUUAGGGCAAAAGGGCAGGUGCUCAGAACCCUUAGACCUCUAUCUGUGCAUGUGCCUGAUCGUGCAUUAGAACACAUGAUUGUGUAUGCGCUUGUGCAUGUGAUUAUUGACUCUACAGUUGGUGUUUAGCUGAGUGUGUCUCCGUCCCAGUAGCCCAUUGAGCAGGACCAGGUUAUUCUGAGGUAUAAGGCAGCUGAUCUAUGGAAAGCUAGCCUGGUUCCGUGUGGGGAAUGUGUCUGACCGAGAGCAGGUCCCAGCCAUGCAGCGCUGUCAGGCACUGUUCCUGUCCCAGAGGCCCCUAUCCCAGGCUGUCCUGUCUGGCCUGCAGGGCACCAACGUCACACUUGAGCUGCCCCUAACCGUGUCUCGGGGGGAUCAGGGGGUAUACGCCUGCCAGGUGGAGAACAUCAAGACUGGGGAGAGGACCUGCCUCCACCGACACCUCACCCUCAGAGCACUCGAGGCAGUGAGGAUCCUGAACAAUUUGACAGACCAGAGUGAAUGUCAGUGCCACGACCAUGCUAAUAUGUGAGGUGACCGGGACACCCACCCCGACAGUGACGUGGACCAAACACAACCAAAAAUUGGUGGAGGGCUCAGUUGUGAGUGGGAGGAGCACCUGACCGUGGAGGAACUGCUCAGCUACAGUUUCCAGGUAGCCAAGGGCAGGGAAUUCCUCUCCUCUCGCAAGUGCAACCAUCGGGACCUGGCAGCUAGGAACAUCCUGCUCUCAGAGAACAAUAUUGUAAAGAUCUGUGACUUUGGUCUGGCCAGAGACGUCUACAAAGAUCCCGACUACGUCUGUAUGAGCAAGAGGAGAUGAAUAGUCUGGACCAUCAGCCUCACCGCACGCCUAACCUCAGAUUCCUCAUGUCCUCCCCCAGCUACAUCCGGCAAUGUAAGAGUAAGGAGUCCCUGGCCUCUGAGUCGUCCAAUCAGAUGAGUGGGUACCAGUCAGGCUACCAUUCAGAUGCCACUGACACCCCCAUAUAUGCUAAUGUGGAGAUGAUCAUGAAGAGGAGCAUCCAGAAGAAGCCACUGCCGCCCAAAACUGCAGACAAGUUCAGUGUUAAGGUGCGCCACAGUGUCCGCCCUGUUUUUAUUCCCUAAUGGCCUCUAUCACUGGCACUGUUCCCCUGAAUGCCCACAAAAUAUACCUCUCUCCUUGAGCCUGAUUUUGUACAGUUUUCUGUCUUUACCCUCACCUUAGGCAGGACCCUCGGAUGACCAUCAGGAACAAUCUCAUCACAUGUGAAAGUGCCUUAUAUAUUGAAUUGUUUAUUCUGUUGGAGUAUUUUCACAAGAGAUAAAUGUAAUAUAUUCAAUGGGAAUGAUACAGGCUGUAGAAAACCCUCUCUAUGGCCCUGGGACACAGAGACAACUCUCUCUUCUAUCCGCACAAAGUAGGCGCUCCACCCACGCUGGAGCCUAAACCCACAGGUCAUAAACUGGCACUUCACACCGUGGGGUCAUCAUUUGGGGUCCAGAUCCCCAAUUCCUGCCUCUUUUUCAUAACCUUCAGUGGCAGCAUGAGGACAAACACUAGUGUUAGGACGAGUAGAAGUGGAUUGCACUAUCUUGCUAUGUUGGUGUGUGUGUGUGUUCUGUACGUCCAUCUUCUACUGGUCAUUACGACGCCUUCAAAUAGAGGCAUCGGGACGAUUGUACCGCUAUUUAACUCACACCUCUUUCGGAGACAUGGUGCUUUUUUUCAUAUGUGCUAAUUCAUGUUUGUAAAGACCACUGUUUUUAGCGAGCCUUUGGAAUGCGAUCAUGUUUAAACAGAAGAUCAGUGGAACCUAGCCACAGGGCCACACCCACUUCCUGAGAAGCAAUCCGCCCACUUCCUCUAUUGCAGGAAAUGGCAACUCGAAUUUGGGACAAUUGAAUGAGCAAAUGUUCUUUCCUUUUGUCAAUUGUGUCUUAUUGGACGAAGCCAGUCUACAUCAUGUGGUUUCAUCCAUUUUUGUAGAUUGUUCUUGCCUCUCAAUUGUACAGUUUCAUUACAAUCAUUUUUGCAUUUGUAAUAGUUAUUAGCUUAUUUUAUUGAAACCAAUAUCAACUUUAAUAAACUUGUAAAUGUAACGGCUUUCUUCUGUUGAAGGAGAGGCGGACCAAAACGCAGCGUGGUUAUUGUGAUACA